UAUUUUACAUUUUGUACUGUUCUUUUAUAGGUCAUACGAAGACCAAUUGUCCUGAUGUAAGAAGGUGCGGAAUUUGCAGAAGGGAAGGUCAUACGAGGAACAAUUGUCCUGAUGCAUGAAAGUGCGGAAUUUGCAGAAAAAAAAUUAUACGAGGACCAAUUGCCCUGUAUUUAUAAGCAUUAUAUCCUUUUGCAAGGCAAAUCAUAUAUAUACGCCUCGUUUUACGUAAAGAAUUGUUAUCCGCUUUAGAAAUUACAUGAUUUUGUCUUCAGUA